rnacentral:rRNA from 1 species
GUCCUACGGGACGCAGCAGUGGGGAAUAUUGCACAAUGGGGGGAACCCUGAUGCAGCGACGCCGCGUGGGUGAAGGAGUACUUCGGUACGUAAAGCCCUAUCAGCAGGAAAGAAAAUGACGGUACCUGACUAAGAAGCCCCGGCUAACUACGUGCCAGCAGCCGCGGUAAUACGUAGGGGACAAGCGUUAUCCGGAUUUACUGGGUGUAAAGGGAGCGUAGACGGCUGCGCAAGUCAGAAGUGAAAGCCCGGGGCUCAACCGCGGGACUGCUUUUGAAACUGUGUAGCUAGAGUGCAGGAGAGGA